rnacentral:rRNA from 1 species
UACGUAGGGGGCAAGCGUUAUCCGGAUUUACUGGGUGUAAAGGGAGCGUAGACGGUUAGGCAAGCCAGAUGUGAAGGCCCGGGGCUCAACCCCGGGACUGCAUUUGGAACUGCGUAGCUUGAGUGUCGGAGAGGCAGACGGAAUUCCUAGUGUAGCGGUGAAAUGCGUAGAUAUUAGGAGGAACACCAGUGGCGAAGGCGGCCUGCUGGACGAUGACUGACGUUGAGGCUCGAAAGCGUGGGGAGCAAACA